UGGGGGAUAUUGCACAAUGGGCGAAAGCCUGAUGCAGCGACGCCGCGUGGGGGAUGAAGGCCUUCGGGUUGUAAACUUCUUUUGCUCUGAACAAGGCGCACCAUGGGGUGUGUUGAGUGUAGGGGUUGAUUAGCGCCGGCUAACUACGUGCCAGCAGCCGCGGUAAUACGGAGGGCGCGAGCGUUGUCCGGAAUUAUUGGGCGUAAAGGGCUUGUAGGUGGCUGGUUGCGUCUGUCGUGAAAGCUCAUGGCUUAACUGUGGGUUUGCGGUGGGUACGGGCUGGCUUGAGUGCAGUAGGGGAGGCUGGAAUUCCUGGUGUAGCGGUGGAAUGCGCAGAUAUCAGGAGGAAUACCGGUGGCGAAGGCGGGUCUCUGGGCUGUUACUGACACUGAGGAGCGAAAGCAUGGGGAGCGAACAGG
rnacentral:rRNA from 1 species